UACGUAGGUGGCAAGCGUUGUCCGGAAUUAUUGGGCGUAAAGCGCGCGCAGGCGGUUUCUUAAGUCUGAUGUGAAAGCCCCCGGCUCAACCGGGGAGGGUCAUUGGAAACUGGGAAACUUGAGUGCAGAAGAGGAAAGUGGAAUUCCAAGUGUAGCGGUGAAAUGCGUAGAGAUUUGGAGGAACACCAGUGGCGAAGGCGACUUUCUGGUCUGUAACUGACGCUGAGGCGCGAAAGCGUGGGGAGCGAACAGG
rnacentral:rRNA from 1 species